rnacentral:rRNA from 1 species
GAGUAAUGUCUGGGAAACUGCCUGAUGGAGGGGGAUAACUACUGGAAACGGUGGCUAAUACCGCAUAACGUCGCAAGACCAAAGAGGGGGACCUUCGGGCCUCUUGCCAUCAGAUGUGCCCAGAUGGGAUUAGCUUGUUGGUGAGGUAACGGCUCACCAAGGCGACGAUCCCUAGCUGGUCUGAGAGGAUGACCAGCCACACUGGAACUGAGACACGGUCCAGACUCCUACGGGAGGCAGCAGUGGGGAAUAUUGCACAAUGGGCGCAAGCCUGAUGCAGCCAUGCCGCGUGUAUGAAGAAGGCCUUCGGGUUGUAAAGUACUUUCAGCGGGGAGGAAGGUGUUGUGGUUAAUAACCGCAGCAAUUGACGUUACCCGCAGAAGAAGCACCGGCUAACUCCGUGCCAGCAGCCGCGGUAAUACGGAGGGUGCAAGCGUUAAUCGGAAUUACUGGGCGUAAAGCGCACGCAGGCGGUCUGUCAAGUCGGAUGUGAAAUCCCCGGGCUCAACCUGGGAACUGCAUUCGAAACUGGCAGGCUUGAGUCUUGUAGAGGGGGGUAGAAUUCCAGGUGUAGCGGUGAAAUG